rnacentral:rRNA from 1 species
GAUGAACGCUGGCGGCGUGCCUAAUACAUGCAAGUCGAGCGAACAGACGAGGAGCUUGCUCCUCUGACGUUAGCGGCGGACGGGUGAGUAACACGUGGAUAACCUACCUAUAAUACUGGGAUAACUUCGGGAAACCGGAGAUAAUACCGGAUAAUAUAUUGAACCGCAUGGUUCAAUAGUGAAAGACGGUUUUGCUGUCACUUAUAGAUGGAUCCGCGCCGCAUUAGCUAGUUGGUAAGGUAACGGCUUACCAAGGCAACGAUGCGUAGCCGACCUGAGAGGGUGAUCGGCCACACUGGAACUGAGACACGGUCCAGACUCCUACGGGAGGCAGCAGUAGGGAAUCUUCCGCAAUGGGCGAAAGCUUGACGCAGCAACGCCGCGUGAGUGAUGAAGGUCUUCGGAUCGUAAAACUCUGUUAUUAGGGAAGAACAAAUGUGUAAGUAACUAUGCACGUCUUGACGGUACCUAAUCAGAAAGCCCCGGCUAACUACGUG